rnacentral:rRNA from 1 species
AAAUUGAAGAGUUUGAUCAUGGCUCAGAUUGAACGCUGGCGGCAGGCCUAACACAUGCAAGUCGAACGGUAGCACAGAGAGCUUGCUCUCGGGUGACGAGUGGCGGACGGGUGAGUAAUGUCUGGGAAACUGCCUGAUGGAGGGGGAUAACUACUGGAAACGGUAGCUAAUACCGCAUAACGUCGCAAGACCAAAGAGGGGGACCUUCGGGCCUCUUGCCAUCAGAUGUGCCCAGAUGGGAUUAGCUAGUAGGUGGGGUAAUGGCUCACCUAGGCGACGAUCCCUAGCUGGUCUGAGAGGAUGACCAGCCACACUGGAACUGAGACACGGUCCAGACUCCUACGGGAGGCAGCAGUGGGGAAUAUUGCACAAUGGGCGCAAGCCUGAUGCAGCCAUGCCGCGUGUAUGAAGAAGGCCUUCGGGUUGUAAAGUACUUUCAGCGAGGAGGAAGGUGUUGAGGUUAAUAACCUCAGCAAUUGACGUUACUCGCAGAAGAAGCACCGGCUAACUCCGUGCCAGCAGCCGCGGUAAUACGGAGGGUGCAAGCGUUAAUCGGAAUUACUGGGCGUAAAGCGCACGCAGGCGGUCUGUCAAGUCGGAUG